GGCUUCGUGGUGAAGUGGUCAGCACACUCGGCGCGUAUUCGAGAGUUCCGUGGUUCGAGUCCCGGCGAGGACA
rnacentral:tRNA from 1 species